rnacentral:rRNA from 2 species
AUUAAUUUGAGAGUUUGAUCCUGGCUCAGGACGAACGCUGGCGGCGUGCCUAAUACAUGCAAGUCGAACGAACUCUGGUAUUGAUUGGUGCUUGCAUCAUGAUUUACAUUUGAGUGAGUGGCGAACUGGUGAGUAACACGUGGGAAACCUGCCCAGAAGUGGGGGAUAACACCUGGAAACAGAUGCUAAUACCGCAUAACAACUUGGACCGCAUGGUCCGAGCUUGAAAGAUGGCUUCGGCUAUCACUUUUGGAUGGUCCCGCGGCGUAUUAGCUAGAUGGUGGGGUAACGGCUCACCAUGGCAAUGAUACGUAGCCGACCUGAGAGGGUAAUCGGCCACAUUGGGACUGAGACACGGCCCAAACUCCUACGGGAGGCAGCAGUAGGGAAUCUUCCACAAUGGACGAAAGUCUGAUGGAGCAACGCCGCGUGAGUGAAGAAGGGUUUCGGCUCGUAAAACUCUGUUGUUAAAGAAGAACAUAUCUGAGAGUAACUGUUCAGGUAUUGACGGUAUUUAACCAGAAAGCCACGGCUAACUACGUGCCAGCAGCCGCGGUAAUACGUAGGUGGCAAGCGUUGUCCGGAUUUAUUGGGCGUAAAGCGAGCGCAGGCGGUUUUUUAAGUCUGAUGUGAAAGCCUUCGGCUCAACCGAAGAAGUGCAUCGGAAACUGGGAAACUUGAGUGCAGAAGAGGACAGUGGAACUCCAUGUGUAGCGGUGAAAUGCGUAGAUAUAUGGAAGAACACCAGUGGCGAAGGCGGCUGUCUGGUCUGUAACUGACGCUGAGGCUCGAAAGUAUGGGUAGCAAACAGGAUUAGAUACCCUGGUAGUCCAUACCGUAAACGAUGAAUGCUAAGUGUUGGAGGGUUUCCGCCCUUCAGUGCUGCAGCUAACGCAUUAAGCAUUCCGCCUGGGGAGUACGGCCGCAAGGCUGAAACUCAAAGGAAUUGACGGGGGCCCGCACAAGCGGUGGAGCAUGUGGUUUAAUUCGAAGCUACGCGAAGAACCUUACCAGGUCUUGACAUACUAUGCAAAUCUAAGAGAUUAGACGUUCCCUUCGGGGACAUGGAUACAGGUGGUGCAUGGUUGUCGUCAGCUCGUGUCGUGAGAUGUUGGGUUAAGUCCCGCAACGAGCGCAACCCUUAUUAUCAGUUGCCAGCAUUAAGUUGGGCACUCUGGUGAGACUGCCGGUGACAAACCGGAGGAAGGUGGGGAUGACGUCAAAUCAUCAUGCCCCUUAUGACCUGGGCUACACACGUGCUACAAUGGAUGGUACAACGAGUUGCGAACUCGCGAGAGUAAGCUAAUCUCUUAAAGCCAUUCUCAGUUCGGAUUGUAGGCUGCAACUCGCCUACAUGAAGUCGGAAUCGCUAGUAAUCGCGGAUCAGCAUGCCGCGGUGAAUACGUUCCCGGGCCUUGUACACACCGCCCGUCACACCAUGAGAGUUUGUAACACCCAAAGUCGGUGGGGUAACCUUUUAGGAACCAGCCGCCUAAGGUGGGACAGAUGAUUAGGGUGAAGUCGUAACAAGGUAGCCGUAGGAGAA